GGCUUCGUAGCUCAGCCGGUAGAGCGCUUGCUGCGUUGAGGUGUGGUAUAUCUGCCGCUGGUUCGAAUCCAGCCGAAGCCC